rnacentral:misc_RNA from 1 species
GAUGAAGAACGUAGCGAAAUGCGAUAAGUAAUGUGAAUUGCAGAAUUCAGUGAAUCAUCGAAUCUUUGAACGCACAUUGCGCCCGCCAGUAUUCUGGCGGGCAUGCCUGUUCGAGCGUCAUUUCAACCCUCAAGCCCCAGCGGCCUGGUGUUGGGGACCGGCGACCUCGCCCGAGCCCGCCCUCCGGGGCGCGUGCCCGGUGCGUCCGCCGCCCCCGAAAUGAAUUGGCGGCCUCGUCGCGGCCUCCUCUGCGUAGUAGCACAACCUCGCAAGCGGGAGCGCGACGCGGCCACUGCCGUAAAACGCCCAACUUUUUUAGAGUUGACCUCGGAUCAGGUAGGAAUACCCGCUGAACUUAAGCAUAUCAAUAAGCCGAGGA